GGGCUUGUAACUCAGAGGUUAGAGUGUACGCUUGAUAAGCGUAAAGUCGGUGUUCAAUUCCACUCGAGCCUA
rnacentral:tRNA from 1 species